AUCCAGUUGACGAGUCCCAAAUAGGAUGAAACGCGCGUUUUGGAU
rnacentral:hammerhead_ribozyme from 1 species